GACGAACGCUGGCGGCGUGCUUAACACAUGCAAGUCGAACGGAAAGGCCCUGCUUUUGUGGGGUGCUCGAGUGGCGAACGGGUGAGUAACACGUGAGUAACCUGCCCUUGACUUUGGGAUAACUUCAGGAAACUGGGGCUAAUACCGGAUAGGAGCUCCUGCUGCAUGGUGGGGGUUGGAACGUUUCGGCGGUUGGGGAUGGACGCGCGGCGUAUCAGCUUGUUGGUGGGGUAGUGGCUUACCAAGGCUUUGACGGGUAGCCGGCCUGAGAGGGUGACCGGCCACAUUGGGACUGAGAUACGGCCCAGACUCCUACGGGAGGCAGCAGUGGGGAAUAUUGCACAAUGGGCGGAAGCCUGAUGCAGCAACGCCGCGUGCGGGAUGACGGCCUUCGGGUUGUAAACCGCUUUCGCCUGUGACGAAGCGUGAGUGACGGUAAUGGGUAAAGAAGCACCGGCUAACUACGUG
rnacentral:rRNA from 1 species